rnacentral:rRNA from 1 species
GACGAACGCUGGCGGCGUGCUUAACACAUGCAAGUCGAACGGAAAGGCCCUGCUUUUGUGGGGUGCUCGAGUGGCGAACGGGUGAGUAACACGUGAGUAACCUGCCCUUGACUUUGGGAUAACUUCAGGCAACUGGGGCUAAUACCGGAUAGGAGCUCCUGCUGCAUGGUGGGGGUUGGAAAGUUUCGGCGGUUGGGGAUGGACUCGCGGCUUAUCAGCUUGAUGGUGGGGUAGUGGCUUACCAAGGCUUUGACGGGUAGCCGGCCUGAGAGGGUGACCGGCCACAUUGGGACUGAGAUACGGCGUAGACUCCUACGGGAGGCAGCAGUGGGGAAUAUUGCACAAUGGGCGGAAGCCUGAUGCAGCAACGCCGCGUGCGGGAUGACGGCCUUCGGGUUGUAAACCGCUGUCGCCUGUGACGAAGCGUGAGUGACGGUAAUGGGUAAAGAAGCACCGGCUAACUACGUG